AACGAACGCUGGCGGCAUGCCUAACACAUGCAAGUCGAACGAGACCUUCGGGUCUAGUGGCGCACGGGUGCGUAACGCGUGGGAACCUGCCCUUAGGUUCGGAAUAACUCCCCGAAAGGGGUGCUAAUACCGGAUAAUGUCUUCGGACCAAAGAUUUAUCGCCUUUGGAUGGGCCCGCGUUGGAUUAGCUAGUUGGUAGGGUAAAAGCCUACCAAGGCGGCGAUCCAUAGCUGGUCUGAGAGGAUGAUCAGCCACACUGGGACUGAGACACGGCCCAGACUCCUACGGGAGGAAGCAGUGGGGAAUAUUGGACAAUGGGCGAAAGCCUGAUCCAGCAAUGCCGCGUGAGUGAUGAAGGCCUUAGGGUUGUAAAGCUCUUUUACCCGGGAUGAUAAUGACAGUACCGGGAGAAUAAGCUCCGGCUAACUCCGUG
rnacentral:rRNA from 1 species